AUUGAACGCUGGCGGAAUGCUUUACACAUGCAAGUCGAACGGCAGCACGAGGGCAACCUUGGUGGCGAGUGGCGAACGGGUGAGUAAUACAUCGGAACGUGCCCAGUCGUGGGGGAUAACGUAGCGAAAGCUACGCUAAUACCGCAUACGAUCUAUGGAUGAAAGCGGGGGACCGUAAGGCCUCGCGCGAUUGGAGCGGCCGAUGGCAGAUUAGGUAGUUGGUGGGGUAAAGGCUCACCAAGCCUGCGAUCUGUAGCUGGUCUGAGAGGACGACCAGCCACACUGGAACUGAGACACGGUCCAGACUCCUACGGGAGGCAGCAGUGGGGAAUUUUGGACAAUGGGCGCAAGCCUGAUCCAGCCAUUCCGCGUGCAGGAUGAAGGCCUCGGUUGU
rnacentral:rRNA from 1 species